AACUUCUGAAUGUUGACCUCGGAUCAGGUAGGAAUACCCGCUGAACUUAAGCAUAUCAAUAAGCGGAGGAAAAGAAACCAACAGGGAUUGCCCUAGUAACGGCGAGUGAAGCGGCAACAGCUCAAAUUUGAAAUCUGGCUCUCGGGCCCGAGUUGUAAUUUGUAGAGGAUACUUUUGAUGCGGUGCCUUCCGAGUUCCCUGGAACGGGACGCCAUAGAGGGUGAGAGCCCCGUCUGGUUGGAUGCCAAAUCUCUGUAAAGUUCCUUCGACGAGUCGAGUAGUUUGGGAAUGCUGCUCUAAAUGGGAGGUAUAUGUCUUCUAAAGCUAAAUACCGGCCAGAGACCGAUAGCGCACAAGUAGAGUGAUCGAAAGAUGAAAAGCACUUUGAAAAGAGAGUUAAAAAGUACGUGAAAUUGUUGAAAGGGAAGCGUUUAUGACCAGACUUGGGCUUGGUUAAUCAUCUGGGGUUCUCCCCAGUGCACUUUUCCAGUCCAGGCCAGCAUCAGUUUUCCCCGGGGGAUAAAGACUUCGGGAAUGUGGCUCUUCUUCGGGGAGUGUUAUAGCCCGUUGUGUAAUACCCUGGGGGGGACUGAGGUUCGCGCAUCUGCAAGGAUGCUGGCGUAA
rnacentral:rRNA from 1 species